CGCAAUCACCUGAUGCGGAAGUCGAAAGCGGCUGACGCGCGCUGAUCGUAACGUUUGUUAAAGCAUUUCUAAUAUCGCACCUUAUCAGAGGGUCUAUAGGUAGAAUUGGGAGGUUCAAGAAGUACACUGCAUGAGUGAUCAGUUUCACCCAAGACCAUCUCUCAAAAGUUUCCAUUUUUAGAGCUAUGUGUCCCUGGAAGCUAUUGGCUAGUGCAGCACCCCAAAAAACCCCAUCUCCAGCGACCUGCUCUGCUUAAAGAUGAUAUCAUUGAUUUACCUCCCAUCAACCAGCCAAGGAGGAUUGUAUUCCCUUCCACCAUGACCACAUGGAAGGCCACUGAUAAAGAAGAUAUAUUAGCUGAGAGAGCUCUGAGGCUGAGAGCUGGAUCCAUCAUGGAGGGCCAUCUAGCGGCUAGACUAGAUCCAAUAUCUGAGCUUUAUAGAACAUUGCCUUAUUUCUCUCCAGAAAGAGUCAUCCAUCGCUCACGUCGGUGGUCCGUCACUCCCUGUAUCCUCCCAAAGCCCUCAGCUUUCUCUUCUUGUUCAAACGGUCCUCUCCAGUCUCCAGUCAGUGGGAGAAACCAUCCCUUUACUCUGUGUCGACAUUAGGAUGGGAAGAGGAAAAGCUGACAAAUGGAUACAGUUUAGCUGAGAAACCUUUCAAAGGUACAUUUGAUUCCUGUCCUCAUUUAAUAUUAAAUGUACAGGCCCAGAGUUACUGUAUUUGAAGGGCUGCUAUAAGAAAGAGGAUGCAUACAGUAAAUUGUUAUUAUAGCUUGGGGUGUAUUACUAUUUCACCAGUAGGUGGCAAUAUGCAUUUGACAGUACAAUGUACAGUCAGUGCCAAUAGAAAGUACACCCCCUUGAACUUGGGGGAUUGAAAUAGAUUUAAUUGUACUUUUUUUUUUUACAUUGAUCUACACAAAAUACUCUGUCAAAGUGAAAAUAUAUAUGUAUGUGUAUAUAUAUUUACAAAUGAAUAACAAUUAAAUAACUAAAAUAUAGUCGUUACGUAAGUAUUUGCCCCAUUUGUUUUGGUAGGCCUAAAUUAGUUCAGAAGUAAAUUUGGCUUAACAAAUCACAUAAUACGUUAUAUGGACUCACCAGGUAGGUGCCUGGUUAGGACGCCAGGUGGUGCCCUUAGAGGGAGGGGGGGCUGUCACACCAUGAUCUUUUUCACCUGUCUUGCACUUGUCUCCACCCCCUACCAAGUGUCUCCUAUUCUUCUCCAUUAUCCCCUGUGUAUUUAUACCUGCGUUUUCUGUUUGUCUCUUGCCAGUUCGUCUUGUUUUGUCAGGUCUUAUCAGUGUCUUUUCUGUUUUUCAAGUUCUUGUUUUCUAGUCUUCCGACCUUUCUGCCUGUCCUGAUCCUGAGCCUGCCUGCCGUUCUGUCCAUGAUUGACUCUGCCUUGGAUUACGAACCUCUACCUGCCCUUUUCCUGCCCCUUUGAUUUAAUACAUAUUAUGAGAACCAAA